CGCCUUUACCCACCCAAUCCCCACCCUGCCCCAAGGUGUCGCUCCUCUGAGCGCCUCUCUCCGUCCUUUCCCCCUCUCCGCCUCAAAGACUCUGGGACUCUCUUCAGAACCCCUUCCCUGUCGGCAGGUAGUAAAGAAAGGGCGAACUGCAUUCGGGAAUCAGGAGUACCUAGUUGUACUGUCCUAAGUCAAAGCUCACUGAGAUUGUCCUGUAAAGUCACAUACCUGAAGUAAGUUGGACCUUAUUUUGAAUUAUUUACUGUGUUCAGGUCCACCAUCAACACACACUUGGAUUGCUG
rnacentral:lncRNA from 1 species